AGUGAACGCUGGCGGUAGGCCUAACACAUGCAAGUCGAACGGCAGCACAGUAAGAGCUUGCUCUUACGGGUGGCGAGUGGCGGACGGGUGAGGAAUACAUCGGAAUCUACUUUUUCGUGGGGGAUAACGUAGGGAAACUUACGCUAAUACCGCAUACGACCUACGGGUGAAAGCAGGGGAUCUUCGGACCUUGCGCGAUUGAAUGAGCCGAUGUCGGAUUAGCUAGUUGGCGGGGUAAAGGCCCACCAAGGCGACGAUCCGUAGCUGGUCUGAGAGGAUGAUCAGCGACACUGGAACUGAGACACGGUCCAGACUCCUACGGGAGGCAGCAGUGGGGAAUAUUGGACGAUGGGCGCAAGCCUGAUCCAGCCAUACCGCGUGGGUGAAGAAGGCCUUCGGGUUGUAAAGCCCUUUUGUUGGGAAAGAAAAGCAGCAGGUUAAUAUCCCGCUGUUCUGACGGUACCCAAAGAAUAAGCACCGGCUAACUUCGUG
rnacentral:rRNA from 1 species